rnacentral:rRNA from 1 species
GGGUUAAGUCCCGCAACGAGCGCAACCCUUGCCUUUAGUUGCCAGCAGUUCGGCUGGGCACUCUAAAGGGACUGCCGGUGUUAAACCGGAGGAAGGUGGGGAUGACGUCAAGUCCUCAUGGCCUUUAUGACCAGGGCUACACACGUACUACAAUGGCCGAUACAAAGGGCAGCGACACUGCGAGGUGAAGCCAAUCCCGUAAAAUCGGUCUCAGUCCGGAUUGGAGUCUGCAACUCGACUCCAUGAAGUUGGAAUCGCUAGUAAUCGUGGAUCAGCAUGCCACGGUGAAUACGUUCCCGGGCCUU